CGGCAGCACGGGGGCAACCCUGGUGGCGAGUGGCGAACGGGUGAGUAAUACAUCGGAACGUGUCCUGUAGUGGGGGAUAGCCCGGCGAAAGCCGGAUUAAUACCGCAUACGCUCUACGGAGGAAAGGGGGGGAUCUUAGGACCUCCCGCUACAGGGGCGGCCGAUGGCAGAUUAGCUAGUUGGUGGGGUAAAGGCCUACCAAGGCGACGAUCUGUAGCUGGUCUGAGAGGACGACCAGCCACACUGGGACUGAGACACGGCCCAGACUCCUACGGGAGGCAGCAGUGGGGAAUUUUGGACAAUGGGCGAAAGCCUGAUCCAGCAAUGCCGCGUGUGUGAAGAAGGCCUUCGGGUUGUAAAGCACUUUUGUCCGGAAAGAAAACGUCGUGGUUAAUACCCGUGGCGGAUGACGGUACCGGAAGAAUAAGCACCGGCUAACUACGUGCCAGCAGCCGCGGUAAUACGUAGGGUGCAAGCGUUAAUCGGAAUUACUGGGCGUAAAGCGUGCGCAGGCGGUCCGCUAAGACAGAUGUG
rnacentral:rRNA from 1 species